GCUGGAUCCUCGAUGGCGCCGACGAUGGAAGGAGGAUGCAGACUGCGGGCGUGGGUUGCCGCAGUUCAUCAUUAGGAAUUGCAAGCAGCAGCUCCUAUCCAUCAUCCUCCCGCUGGACCAGAUUCUCCACUUGCCUCUGGUGGCAGAGUAAGACUACGUCCACUGCUUGGAAGGGAAGGGGGCAUCUAAAAGGUCGAGAGACAGAGGAACGAAGUCGAGAAGAGUUCGAUCGGCCUUGGCCCUCGCUCGUCGAUCUAUCGAUCCAUCGAAAGCCGACAAACAGAAGAGCGUUCGGAGAUCGAGGGCAAUAGGGAGGUUUCCAGAGAGAGUUCACCGUCCCUCAUUGUUCGCGAUUUCAACACUUAGUGAUCGAUCGAUCGGUCAAUCUUUUUCUUAGAUUGUACAGAACCUUACAAGUUCUUUUCUUCUCUGCGGUUCCCUCUUACAGUGCAAAAAGCGUUGAGCGGGGCUCUUGGUCCGACUGUGCAGAUCACGUGUUCGACGAGACUUGCACGAACUUGAGGAU